ACAGGAAAAUGACCUAUGAAUUGACAGACAAUACAGCUGAGUUUGUCUGUCAUUUCUUUAGGCCAAUAUUCUGU
rfam:Pongo abelii chromosome 1.